GUAGGUGAACCUGCGGAAGGAUCAUUAAUGAAGUUGAAAUGGGUUGUCGCUGCGUCACAAACGACGCGUGCACGCCCUGUUCAAAUCCACUCACACUGUGCACAACCUGUAGUUCCAGGGCGAUGAAGGGAGGGUGUUUUUCCCCUCCCCGACUCGGUUCUAUGUUUUUUUUUCACACGCACGCCGUCCAAAGAGUAUUGUGGAAUGUGACCCUAGCGUAUAACGCAAAGCAAUACAACUUUCAGCAACG
rnacentral:misc_RNA from 1 species